AUUGAACGCUGGCGGCAGGCUUAACACAUGCAAGUCGAGCGGAGAUGAGGUGCUUGCACCUUAUCUUAGCGGCGGACGGGUGAGUAAUGCUUAGGAAUCUGCCUAUUAGUGGGGGACAACAUUCCGAAAGGAAUGCUAAUACCGCAUACGUCCUACGGGAGAAAGCAGGGGAUCUUCGGACCUUGCGCUAAUAGAUGAGCCUAAGUCGGGAUUAGCUAGUUGGUGGGGUAAAGGCCUACCAAGGCGACGAUCUGUAGCGGGUCUGAAAGGAUGACCCGCAACACUGGAACGGGGAAACGCCCCGGACUCCUACGGAAGGAAGCGGUGGGGAUUAUGGAACAAGGGGGGAAGCCCGGUUCCGGCCAGGCGGGUUUGGUGAGAAAGCCUUAUGGUUGUAAAGCACUUUAAGCGAGGAGGAGGCUACUGAGACUAAUACUCUUGGAUAGUGGACGUUACUCGCAGAAUAAGCACCGGCUAACUCUGUGCCAGCCGCCGCAGUAA
rnacentral:rRNA from 1 species